CAGUCGUCUUUCAUGCCAAAACAAAGCUCGAAGAUACGAUACUUUAUAACCGCUAUUCGGAAGAGCCAUUUUAUCUAAGUAACAACAAGAACGCAGGCUCGCGGUGAAAAUUUGCGAUCCUUGGCCUUUUUCGUUUUCGUUAACAGUACUUUAGUGGUCUUGGCUCCCUGGAGUUAAUUUAUUGCUAUUAUUUAUUAAUUAAGGACGAAUGACUUAACCACCUUACAUCUAAAGAAGGCUGGUCCUGAGGAACGAGACCGUCAUGUUCAGUGUGUAUUUAAUGGGAUUAUUUAUUGUAAUUUCAAUUGCUUUGCGUGGUUCUCUUUUCUGAGGCAACAAUGUAUCUCGCCCACGCAUUGCUACGAAUGCUUUCAAAUGGUAAUUUGCUACUCCUGACACCCACAAAAAGAUGGAAACCGAAAACCGAAAAAGACAGUGAUAAUUUUUCCUAACGGUGGGAACCUGGCGGAGCGAAGACCUGUCCAGAGGAAAGGAUGCAAGACCUCUACCUUCGCAGCAUAUGUUCAUGGGGCAAUAAAACUGAAAGAUUUACAGUCCGUGCCCGGCCCCCAGCAGCCUAGCACCCUUUCAGGAUUUACUGGAAAUGAUUUACAACAGCACAGACACUGUCACCCUGCUCAAAGCGCUCCCAUUUUCCCCUGAAUGAAAAUUGCAAUCGCUGUAAUAUCACCAACAUUUCCCAAGACUAUCUGAAUAUGAGCAAACAAAUACAGCAAACAAAUACUUCAAUAGAUUGUGAUUCAAUAUAUUUUAAAAAAUAAAUCGAUUGAUAUGACCGAAUUAGAUUUUUCGGACUUUCUUAUCCAGUGCAGUGCAUUUAACAUUAAGAAAUUGCAACCUUUGUUUUAUUCCGCUUUGUUUCCGAUUUUUCUUGACUUACUAGCAAAAUGAAUAUUAAUGUAUCCAUCUUCCUGGAGAUAUCAAAUAGUAUCUUAUAUGAUCACAUGCAUGUAAAUAUAUUUAACAAGGUGAAUAUAUACGAAUGAGCUCAUGACGGCAAGGCACCUUUUCUAAAAGAUCCUGCAAUAAAUCAAACUGAGGCCCUUGCACGAAUCCAGUAAGAACAAGCAAUGUCUGACCAAUUAUACUACACAGAUUUCAAAGCCACGUUAUAAAAAUAGAACCACGUUUAAUUAACUGAAGAAUAUGUGGACAUAGAAUUGUACAAAUCUUGACAUGAGAUUUCAAUGAAAGCAAAAUAAAUGUUACAAUCCCAAA